rnacentral:lncRNA from 1 species
AAUCUCUUUGUUCUUGGAUAAUGAAAAGAAUUGUCAACAACCACAGCUUGUUUCAACGUCCGAAUCCUCCCUCAUCCAGAAGUUUUCAUCGACGUGUUUGUGAGAUCCCUUGCUUCUAAAUGAAUCUUUGAGUAGAUCAUUAUUGAAGAAAGUUAAUUCUAUAUUUUUUUAUUAAUUUGAUCUAAAAUUUUUAAUUAUGAUUUGAUGCCCUAAUCAUGGAUGGUUUCUCAAUCAUCUA